AUGAGGUUUGCAAUGGCGAACAGGGCAUACAUGGCGGUGACGCUGGGCGCGGCCAUGGAGCUCAAGGAGCAGGUGGCCAAGCCGUGCUCGGCGGCGGCGAAGCGGGGCCUGCCGGUGGUGGCUGUCCGGUCGUCGGCCGUCAAGGUCGACGGCGUCCCGGUUGCCGCCGAGGAGUCGCUGAGGAUGGUCAUGUAUCUCAGCUGUUGGGGCCCAUGUUAG
rnacentral:rRNA from 1 species